UGAUGCGAUAAUAAGGUUAAAGAGAGGUAUUAUCGCUCGCAUGGCCCAGUUGGAUCCCAAUCCAUUCUGGACUCAGCAAAAAGAGAGCUUGGUCGCUAACGGAAUCUUAAAUAAAGAUGCAGAGUUUACUAGGAAGACGCUGAUGGAAUACUUUACUAAAUUAGAAACCGAAGAAGGGAAAGAGUCUUGUAUUUAUCAAAAACUUCUCAAAACAAGAGAAAACAUCGCAAGAAAUGGUAAAUUUAAUUAAAGUUCUAUUAGUCAGAAAUUCUUUGUCAAACAAGUUCUUUCUUUAAAAAAAUUGGAAAGAAUCCUUACUACUAUAUACGAGGGCCACCUAGCUUAGGCUAGUCAUAAUUCGUGAAUACUCCUUCUUUGCCAGGGCUAGCUCCAAUUCUAUUAUAAAAAAAAGUGAAUGGUGCUGCAUCUCCUUAGUGAAGGGUGGGUGGACUGGUGAGCCGCUUACACUUUAUGUGAGGAGAAAGGAGCUAUCAAGCUUAAUGUAGUCCCUAGACCAGACAGAGGUUCUAGGGGGAGUCCGGAUAGAGGAUUCCUUUAAGCGGUCUGCCCGCAGAUGUAGGAAGGCUGAAAUUUAAGCCUCUCGAACUGCGUACCAAAAGCAACUCUAUUGUCGGAAAAAUAGGCUUGAUCAGAGCCCUGCCAGUUCGAGUCUGGCGAGUUGCUGAAAAGAAUGAAAGCAAGCAAGAGAUAAAGAUCUAGUUAGACUUGCCAGGUAAAAAAAAUGGCUGGAGAAUCAUUGCUAAUCCUCAAUCCUCAUCCAAUCCAACUCAAGCACCAGCAAAGGUAAGAAAGGCAAUUGGCCUACUCGAGAAGAGAAUCAUUGCUAAUCCUCAAUCCUCCUCCAAUUCAACUCAAGCACCAGCAAAGGUAACAAAGGCAAUUGGCCUACUCGAGACAUUGAGUAGUGUCAAUUUAUGUCAUGAGCUCCUUUUCAAGCCCCAAGAGGGCUUUCUAACAAAGAGAACGGCGCAUUCGAGAACAUCUGUGCGGGGAUAUCUAAACUAUUGGAUUCACCUCAGAGAAAGCACUUUACUGUUUGACCCGUAUCCGAGGGUCACU
rnacentral:lncRNA from 1 species